rnacentral:lncRNA from 1 species
CACCACAGGGUGAUGACAUCACUUCAACUCUCCUUGUUAAAACUUUGCAAUUCAUUUCUGCUCCAUGAUCAUUUACCAAUACAUGCUCAAUGUAAUCUUGCAGGAUUUGUUGUUCUGACCUGGCUUCUGUGACUUCAACUUUGAAUGUAACAGGAUGUUAGCAGUGUCAGCCUGGAUAGAUAAAAUGGAUCAUCAGAUGCAUUUCAGCUGUCACAUCCUCCAGGGGUCCUUCCUUGAUCCACAGUGGGAAGCCAUCUCUCCUCCAUCUGUGCUUCCCCAGAUUUCAACUGUGCCCCUCACUGCCUAGCAUCUGUGGCAGGUGUGUAGGUUCAUUUCUUCUUUUAAAAGUUUGAGAGCAAAACACAUGCUUUUUGAGUAUCUGUAUCCCUGGUGAAAUGUUUGGCCUGAAUAUAACAUGUUCUCAAUAAAAACUGUGUUGAUUAUGUAAGAUUUGUAGGUUUUGUUGUUGUUGUUGUUGUUUGUUUUACAUUUUUAAUUACCUGCCUUCUUU